UGCAUACAUAUUACAUUUUACUGGCUCUCUACACUAGUCAUAACAACUUAGCAAUAAUUUUACAAAUCUAUACAAAUACUUAUUGAAUGAUUACUGGGAAGCAGCACAGAAUAAAACGACUAUUAAUUUGCUAUUGGUGGGUGUGUCGUUUUUUCAAACUUUCAGUUAUAUGUAGAUAUAUUGUUCUCAAACACGAUUCACUUUUUGGACUGAGCAGCCACUGAAUUUUUUCAUGAUCUGUUUUCUGCUCAGGAGGUAUCAUUUAUGUAAAUUUCUUGUAUUAUUUAGGGAAUAGGAAUAGUAUUCAGUUAUGGCAUAGCUCUUUAAUGGUCAAUUUUUGGUGUAAUUUUUUUGUUAAAUGUUCAUUUUAGUUGGAAGGGUAGGAGUUGUAUUAGUUCAAAUGAUGGUUUUUUGUUUGCGAGUGAAGUCUCUUCAUAGUUAUGUGUGGAGGUUAAAACCCAUGGUUUGGGGUGGAGGAGACAAAGGAGAGGAGGCUAUAUUUGAAAGUGAUGGCAGGUAGAUUUAUAUGAUGUAGGAAAUAAUAUGGAAUUAGUAAUGGGAGCAGGGAAUGAUUAUCAUUGCAUGUAGAGGAAAAAGGAUUGGUUAAAUUACAAAUUUGUUUAAUUAUUUGGCACCUUUGGGAAAUUCAAAAGGUUAUAAGUUUCAAGGAAAUGGGAGAAGAUAGACCUAUGACUUUUUGCAUUAUAAUAAUUUUUUUUGUGAGGCAAUUGUGACAAAAGGAAUUUGGAAGAUUGGAUAUAAAAACUUUUUCUGUGUCAAGAUGGAUAUAAUAUUUUUUUAUGUUGUCAACUUGAAUAUUAUGUUCUAAAGUAUGAAAAAGGUAUUUUAAUGAAACUUUUAAAGCUAAUUUUUUGUGAACUUCUUUAAAUGCGUUGCGUUAUUUGAUGAUGAUGAUGAUUUUGUUAUAAAUAAUUUUGGUAAGAUGUGAGUAAAAUGUAAUGUUGUAUAUAAUGUUUAGAGUAUAAUAUAAAAUUAGUUUGUUAAGUAGUUUGUAUUAUUGAAUCUAUAUUAGGGGCCUAAUUGCUCUUAGGAUUAGAAAAAUAUGAAAAUUGGAAAUAUAUUUUGAUUAUGUACUUUUAAUGAAGUGGGUAUUUGUGCAAUCAUAAAUGAUAGUUUACAUCAUAGAGAACAUUGUUCAAGCAUUGUUUUGGAAAGUGAAUAGUUGUUUGCAAAGAAAAUUGAUGUUAAAAAUUUUGAACUACAAGAUGACAAGUUGAUAUGAUUAUAUUAAAAGUAAGCCGAUUUAUAAAAUGAUUACUAGGUGUUGUUUAUCUUUUGUUAUGGGUUAUGUUUCAUUUGUAUUAAGCAGAAGAAAGAAGUUAUAUGUAUUUUAAAAUAUUUUCUUUGUAAUAUGAAAUUUGUUUUGUGAUGUAUUGAAAUUUUGACAAUGAAAUUAUUUAAAAAUUUGAAUUAUAGUGUAUUUUAAAGAGAAAGUCUGGAGAAAUAGUUACAUCGAGUUACAUAAUUAUUUCACAAUGGCAUAUUUUUAUGUUGAAUACAUUUUAUAUAUGUUUAAUUAAAUACAAGGUUGCAAUACAAUUGUUAGAACAAGAUUAUUUAUUGAACUGAAAUUAUAAUAAAUAUUUUACUUUGAAAUUGCAUACAUUUGGCUUGUUAUUUUAAUGUUUAUAGUAACAUUCAGUGUAUCAUUGCUGACUCAUACCCAGCAUUUAAAGUUUCACCUCAAGUACGUUCUUAUAAUUUACGGUAUAUUUCGUCAAAAAAUAAUAUUAAUAAUAUGAUAUAUCGAGUUUAGAAUAUUUUAGAUUUUUUUCAAAAGUAGCAUUAUACAUUUUUUAUUUGAUGCUACUGUAAUAAUAGGUUGCAAAAAGCAGAAAGUUAUUGAAAACAUUUUAAUUUUGACAAAAAACUAUACAAUUCUGAGCAAAGAUAAUCAAAACGCUCACAUAAUUACAUGGCUUUAAAUCAGUAUUAUUCUGUGUGAUUUCGCACGGCCACUGUUGUGAAAAAGCAGGUUAAUUUUUGUAAAAAUUGCCCCGAUCAUGCUGCUUUACAAAAUUGACCUACGUAUUAUGAA